GCAUCGGUGGUUCAGUGGUAGAAUGCUCGCUCAAUACGCGGGCGGCCCGGGUCUGAUUCCCGGCCGAUGCA
rnacentral:tRNA from 1 species